rnacentral:sRNA from 1 species
CCGUGCCCAUUUUGGCUCAAG